rnacentral:rRNA from 1 species
GGGUUGUGAGGUUAAGCGACUAAGCGUACACGGUGGAUGCCCUGGCAGUCAGAGGCGAUGAAGGACGUGCUAAUCUGCGAUAAGCGUCGGUAAGGUGAUAUGAACCGUUAUAACCGGCGAUUUCCGAAUGGGGAAACCCAGUGUGAUUCGUCACACUAUCAUUAACUGAAUCCAUAGGUUAAUGAGGCGAACCGGGGGAACUGAAACAUCUAAGUACCCCGAGGAAAAGAAAUCAACCGAGAUUCCCCCAGUAGCGGCGAGCGAACGGGGAGCAGCCCAGAGCCUGAAUCAGUGUGUGUGUUAGUGGAAGCGUCUGGAAAGGCGUGCGAUACAGGGUGACAGCCCCGUACACAAAAAUGCACAUACUGUGAGCUCGAUGAGUAGGGCGGGACACGUGGUAUCCUGUCUGAAUAUGGGGGGACCAUCCUCCAAGGCUAAAUACUCCUGACUGACCGAUAGUGAACCAGUACCGUGAGGGAAAGGCGAAAAGAACCCCGGCGAGGGGAGUGAAAAAGAACCUGAAACCGUGUACGUACAAGCAGUGGGAGCACGCUUAGGCGUGUGACUGCGUACCUUUUGUAUAAUGGGUCAGCGACUUAUAUUCUGUAGCAAGGUUAACCGAAUAGGGGAGCCGAAGGGAAACCGAGUCUUAACUGGGCGUUAAGUUGCAGGGUAUAGACCCGAAACCCGGUGAUCUAGCCAUGGGCAGGUUGAAGGUUGGGUAACACUAACUGGAGGACCGAACCGACUAAUGUUGAAAAAUUAGCGGAUGACUUGUGGCUGGGGGUGAAAGGCCAAUCAAACCGGGAGAUAGCUGGUUCUCCCCGAAAGCUAUUUAGGUAGCGCCUCGUGAAUUCAUCUCCGGGGGUAGAGCACUGUUUCGGCAAGGGGGUCAUCCCGACUUACCAACCCGAUGCAAACUGCGAAUACCGGAGAAUGUUAUCACGGGAGACACACGGCGGGUGCUAACGUCCGUCGUGAAGAGGGAAACAACCCAGACCGCCAGCUAAGGUCCCAAAGUCAUGGUUAAGUGGGAAACGAUGUGGGAAGGCCCAGACAGCCAGGAUGUUGGCUUAGAAGCAGCCAUCAUUUAAAGAAAGCGUAAUAGCUCACUGGUCGAGUCGGCCUGCGCGGAAGAUGUAACGGGGCUAAACCAUGCACCGAAGCUGCGGCAGCGACGCUUAUGCGUUGUUGGGUAGGGGAGCGUUCUGUAAGCCUGUGAAGGUGUGCUGUGAGGUAUGCUGGAGGUAUCAGAAGUGCGAAUGCUGACAUAAGUAACGAUAAAGCGGGUGAAAAGCCCGCUCGCCGGAAGACCAAGGGUUCCUGUCCAACGUUAAUCGGGGCAGGGUGAGUCGACCCCUAAGGCGAGGCCGAAAGGCGUAGUCGAUGGGAAACAGGUUAAUAUUCCUGUACUUGGUGUUACUGCGAAGGGGGGACGGAGAAGGCUAUGUUGGCCGGGCGACGGUUGUCCCGGUUUAAGCGUGUAGGCUGGUUUUCCAGGCAAAUCCGGAAAAUCAAGGCCGAGGCGUGAUGACGAGGCACUACGGUGCUGAAGCAACAAAUGCCCUGCUUCCAGGAAAAGCCUCUAAGCAUCAGGUAACAUCAAAUCGUACCCCAAACCGACACAGGUGGUCAGGUAGAGAAUACCAAGGCGCUUGAGAGAACUCGGGUGAAGGAACUAGGCAAAAUGGUGCCGUAACUUCGGGAGAAGGCACGCUGAUACGUAGGUGAAGCGACUUGCUCGUGGAGCUGAAAUCAGUCGAAGAUACCAGCUGGCUGCAACUGUUUAUUAAAAACACAGCACUGUGCAAACACGAAAGUGGACGUAUACGGUGUGACGCCUGCCCGGUGCCGGAAGGUUAAUUGAUGGGGUUAGCGCAAGCGAAGCUCUUGAUCGAAGCCCCGGUAAACGGCGGCCGUAACUAUAACGGUCCUAAGGUAGCGAAAUUCCUUGUCGGGUAAGUUCCGACCUGCACGAA